UACGUAGGGCGCAAGCGUUGUUCGGAUUCAUUGGGCGUAAAGGGUGCGUAGGCGGCGCGGUAAGUCGGGUGUGAAAUCUCGGGGCUUAACUCCGAAACUGCAUUCGAUACUGCCGUGCUUGAGGACUGGAGAGGAGACUGGAAUUUACGGUGUAGCGGUGAAAUGCGUGGAUAUCGUAAGGAAGACCAGUGGCGAAGGCGGGUCUCUGGACAGUUCCUGACGCUGAGGCACGAAGGCCAGGGGAGCAAACGGG
rnacentral:rRNA from 1 species